GUGAGCCACCGUGCGCCCCCGCCUCAGCUCGCCGGAAGUCCCUCGGCCCUUGUGCACCUCAACCGGCGCCGGAUCCGCCCAUUCUCGGCCUCAAACCGCCAUGGACAGCAGCUGCAGAAAAUGGGUAUGCAGCGGACGUUUGGCCCGUUUUGGCCGUCUUCCCGAGCUCGGAUGCUCGGCUCGCUUUGAGGAAAGUUGUUCUCCUCGGCGUCCUCGUCGUUUUGGUUCGCUCGGCUCGCUAAUCCGGUGAGUUUAGCUCACUAAACCUUGCUUAGAGGGUUAAUUAUGCUUUAGGUGUGCUUAGUUUAUGUUAAGUGUGAUUAGAUGGUUAGUUUGAUUUAUUUAAGUGUGGAUUAUAUUAAUGUGUUUAAUUAGCUUAAAUUGUGUUUAAUUUAAAGUUAAAUGGGUGUUUAUAUUAAUAUAAACUUUGAUGUGACAUAAAGGAAUUUACUUUUGAUUUAUUUAAAUAUCCCGAAAUCAUUAAAUAAUUUAAUGAUAUAUUAUUAUUCGAAAUUAUUAAAAUAUUAUUAUUUAAUUAUUUUCGGAAUAAAGUUAAUUAUUUAUUAAAUUCCGAAAAUUUUGGUCGGGACCCUAAAUUCUCAGAAUUUCGUGCCGGUCGCUACGGUACAUUCGGAUUUUGAAAUUGAUGAUUGGAUAUUAUAAAUUGAGUGUGGAUUUCGAAAACUGUGGAUAUUAUUAUUUAAUUAUUUUCGGAAUAAAUUUAAUUAUUUAUUAAAUUCCGAAAAUUUUCAUUGGGACCUUAUUUGCUCAGAAUUUCGUGCCGAUCGUUGCUGUGCUAGUAGAAUUUGAAAUUGAUGAUUGGUUGUGAUGAAUUGAGUGUGAUUGUGAUUUAUAGGGAUUCUUUAUGAAAUCCUAAGUGUAGAAAUUGAUGGGAGAUUGGCUGUGAAAUACCACCUAUUAGAGGUCGUGCCCAGAGAGGCCGUGAUAAACCACCUUGGAAAGGUCGUGCCCGAUGAGGCCGUGAAAAACCACCUACAAGAGGUCGUGCCCGAUGAGGCCGUGAAAUACCACCUAUUAGAGGUCGUGCCCAGAGAGGCCGUGAUAAACCACCUGUGAAAGGUCGUGCCCAGAGAGGCCGUGAUAAACCACCUGUGAAAGGUCGUGCCCAGAGAGGCCGUGAUAAACCACCUCUGAGAGGUCGUGCCCAGAGAGGCCGUGAUAAACCACCUUGGAAAGGUCGUGCCCGAUGAGGCCGUGAAAAAACCACCUACAAGAGGUCGUGCCCAGUGGGGCCGUUAUAUGCCACCUAUUAGAGGUCGCGCCCAGUGGGGCCGUGAAUUGCCACCUGUUAAAGGUCGCGUCGAGUGGGGCCGUGAUGCCACUGAUUUAAAUUUGCCGAGUAGGGCCGUAGUUGAGAGCAAUGAUUGAUUUGCUAGAAUGACAUGUAAUCGGCCGAGUCGAUUGAUCGCUGAGACGAUCCAAGUGGUUGAAUUGUUUUGAUAAUGUGAUUGAGCCAUGGUUGUUUGGUUAUCAUAAUUGCACGUGGUUGGUUUAUAUAAAUUGUGCUAACCUGCAGAUGAAGGCUGAGGCGAGGUAAGUCUUCUGUGUGAUGUGGCUAGGCCACCCGGGGCGUAUUUUCUUUCUAAUAGGGGUUUAGGGGGUUGAACUUGCUGAGACGUGGUCUCAGUGGUUAUUGAAUAACCAUUUCAGGUCCCUGAUGGACGGAGCGGCCAGAUAGCUUUGGUUGGCCUUGAAGAGUUGGAGAAGUGAAAGUCAUAAGGAUCGGAGAUCGUGUACGUCUUGUAGGUCGUAGGAUAAUCUCUUUUUUAAGAGCCAGUCUUUUGUAGACUUUUGGCCGUAGACCUCUGUUUGUAAUUUCGUUGAUUUACGAAAGUGUUAUGUUGUGAUUUUGUUUCCUGCUUUUCUAUCCCGU
rnacentral:lncRNA from 1 species